rnacentral:tRNA from 1 species
AUAUAUAAAGUAAUUGUUUACAUUUAAUUUCGGCUUAAGGAUUUGAUUUUUAUCAUAUAUAUA